GUCUUUGAGUCAACAGACUUUGACAGCAGUGAUGAACGCUGUCUUAGGCCAACCAGAACACAGGCUGCGAAAGGAAAUAAAGACUAACCUCCAGUGACAGUAAUCACACAUAAAUCAGCAUCUCCAAAACAGUUGGAUGGAUGGUCAAAAACUUUGAACCAUCCACGAGACGUGGGUAACAGAGUUGUACAGGUUCCGAGUGAAACCAACAACAUUAUUUGUUCAGCAGAAGACAAACCUGGUGUGUGUCAUUAUUGUGGGAUUUCUGGUCACUGGCAACGAGAACGUCGGAACGAAAACGUGUCUUUAUGAGAAGUGGCCAGGAGAAGAAGGGUCCGUCUAAGGGAAAAUGGACGUGUCUUUAUGAGAAGUGGCCAGGAGAAGAAGGGUCCGUCUAAGGGAAAAUGGACGUGUCUUUAUGAGAAGUGGCCAGGAGAAGAAGGGUCCGUCUAAGGGAAAAUGGACGUGUCUUUAUGAGAAGUGGCCAGGAGAAGAAGGGUCCGUCUAAGGGAAAAUGGAAACAGGACAACAGCCCCAACAACACAAUGCUGAUGCAGAAAUUUAAGAAGCUCUCUCCGGCUGCUGUGGAGGUUAUGAGAAUCUAUCGUCUGAGGCUGCAGCAAUAUUCCUUGACCCGAGGCCUGUACCUGAAACGAUACAAGAUCACCGGUGAAGUGUUCAUUAGAGAUGUCCUUAUCAACCAGUGUAACGGAAGAAUAAUUCCUCACUACCGGCAGACUGUCAGAAUAUAAUCUUUAAUAGUUAUCUAUGUGGGACUGAUACCAGUGUGGAAGAGCUGGUCACUUUUAAAGGACUUGGUGAAUGAUUACCUUGCUAAUAGGACGAUUGAAUAUUAUUGUCUUGCAGACAGUUAUUUAUUUUGUGAGUUUCCUCCUAAUACAGGAUGUGAUAGGAAUCGUAAGGGACAUCAUCAUUACACCUGUUAAUGCUUAUUUUCUAUAACUUUGUUUGAAAUUGAUGUCUUAUUGUAACAGCAAGUAAAAUAUGCCCUUUGUGCUUUCUAGAAAUGCAAGGUGUUUCAUGCAAAUGAUUUUAUGCUUACUGCUUGUUUUUUAUACUGUCUAUUUUUUCAUGUUUUCUAUUGUUUUCUAAAAAGACAUUUGAAGUAUAUAUUUUUUUUAAAUGUUCUAAGGGGAGUGUAAGAAUAUUUAAAGAUCAAUACACAAUGCAGAGGACUAAAGGCCAAGAGGACUAAAAGUCAAGAGAGGACUAAAGGUCAAGAGGACUAAAAGUCAAGAGAGUACUAACGAUCAAUGGAAAUAGUGUUUUUUUUGUAAAAGGGAAUUAAUAAACAAUGGGUCAGAGA